rnacentral:rRNA from 1 species
UACAGAGGUCCCAAGCGUUGUUCGGAUUCACUGGGCGUAAAGGGUGCGUAGGUGGUGAGGUAAGUCGGAUGUGAAAGCUCCGAGCUCAACUCGGAAAUGGCAUUGGAAACUACCUUGCUAGAGGGUUUGAGGGGGGACUGGAAUACUUGGUGUAGCAGUGAAAUGCGUAGAUAUCAAGUGGAACACCAGUGGCGAAGGCG